rnacentral:rRNA from 1 species
GACGAACGCUGGCGGCGUGCUUAACACAUGCAAGUCGAACGGAAAGGCCCUGCUUUUGUGGGGUGCUCGAGUGGCGAACGGGUGAGUAACACGUGAGUAACCUGCCCUUGACUUUGGGAUAACUUCAGGAAACUGGGGCUAAUACCGGAUAGGAGCUCCUGCUGCAUGGUGGGGGUUGGAAAGUUUCGGCGGUUGGGGAUGGACUCGCGGCUUAUCAGCUUGUUGGUGGGGUAGUGGCUUACCAAGGCUUUGACGGGUAGCCGGCCUGAGAGGGUGACCGGCCACAUUGGGACUGAGGUACGGACCAGACUGCUACGGGAGGCAGAAGUGGGGAAUAUUGCACAAUGGGCGGAAGCCUGAUGCAGAAACGCCGCGUGCGGGAUGACGGCCUUCGGGUUGUAAACCGCUUUAGCCUGUGACGAAGCGUGAGUGACGGUAAUGGGUAAAGAAGCACCGGCUAACUACGUG